AACGAACGCUGGCGGCAUGCCUAACACAUGCAAGUCGAACGAGACCUUCGGGUCUAGUGGCGCACGGGUGCGUAACGCGUGGGAACCUGCCCUUAGGUUCGGAAUAACUCCCCGAAAGGGGUGCUAAUACCGGAUAAUGUCUUCGGACCAAAGAUUUAUCGCCUUUGGAUGGGCCCGCGUUGGAUUAGCUAGUUGGUAGGGUAAAAGCCUACCAAGGCGACGAUCCAUAGCUGGUCUGAGAGGAUGAUCAGCCACACUGGGACUGAGACACGGCCCAGACUCCUGCGGGAGGCAGCAGUGGGGAAUAUUGGACAAUGGGCGAAAGCCUGAUCCAGCAAUGCCGCGUGAGUGAUGAAGGCCUGAGGGUUGUAAAGCUCUUUUACCCGGGAUGAUAAUGACAGUACCGGGAGAAUAAGCUCCGGCUAACUCCGUG
rnacentral:rRNA from 1 species